GGGUAAGUCCUCAGCCCUUGGUCUCAUACCACAGUUUGCUAAUGAACUGUAUGAUCAGGGAGAAGUAUGUGGAAUAAUCAACCAAACACAACAAGAGCAAAACUCAUUUAAGAGUUAGAGAACACCCAGUGACGGGCCCCAUGUUGAAGACUUAUUGACCAAUGGCUAGCACUGGGUAACAGGUUCUGAGCCACAGCUGCCACUGGA